rnacentral:rRNA from 1 species
UACAGAGGGUGCGAGCGUUAAUCGGAAUUACUGGGCGUAAAGCGCACGUAGGCGGAUCGAUCAGUCAGGGGUGAAAUCCCCGGGCUCAACCCGGGAACUGCGUCCGAUACUGGAAGGCUUAAAUCCGGGAGAGGGAUGUGGAAGUUCCAGGUGUAGCGGUGAAAUGCGUAGAUAUCUGGAGGAACACCGGUGGCGAAGGCGACAUCCUGGACCGGUAUUGACGCUGAGGCGCGGAAAAGCCAGGGGA